rnacentral:tRNA from 1 species
GGGCCUUUAGCUCAAUUGGCAGAGCAGCCCACUCAUAAUGGGUUGGUUUUCGGUUCGAGUCCGGGAAGGCCCA